UAAUUUAACUAAAAGUCUAUUCACAUGAAAGGCCCAGCUUUAACUUGCAUUUCCUUAAGGGGCACAGGUAGCAGUCACUCUUUACCUCCAUAUUCUUCCACCAGGCUACAAGGGACCACAGUUUUCUCAAGUGUUUCUUAUUUAUUUGUUAUAGCUGACUUAUUAGAUGUUUAAACAGAUUUAUUGUCAUCUAACACUUUUUGUAAAUAUGAUAUAGAUUCAGUAGAAUUUAGAGCAUGCUGUUACUUUAGACAAAGUGGCUCUUUAUAAGUUUUUUUUUCUUUAUAUUCUGUUUUGUUCUCACUUCAUGAACAAAUCUGUCUCACUGUUCAUGAAUGGCCUAAAUAUAAAUCUGAAUUUUAAUUGUGUCUUUAAAAUUUUCCAAAGAUUUAAAAGUUUUCUCUUUGUUGGCUGUCUUAAUGUGAAAUAUGUUAAAUUGCAUAUUAUCGGCUUAUCCUUUCUUUGCAAGUCCCACAGAAAUGAGAGAGACUGAAAACAUAUAUUAACAAGAAAAAAAAAGAAAGGAGAAAAAUGGCAGUAAGGGUAUUUAGUAGAAUUUGAAAGUUGAUUCAAACUAGUGACUAGAGGCAUUCUUUCUGAGAAAAAUAACUAGCUUAAGAGAAGAGAGAGGAAGCCUGAAAUACUGAUAGUCAGAUGCAUUGCUUUUAAAUAACAGAUUGGCAAGGAUCACCAGAUAUUUAAAGAAAAGCCUUUAUGUCAAAGAUAAAAGGGAGAAUAUGGAAGAAAAACAAGGCAUGAAGCAGAAGGAAACUGAAAAAAGGGAAAAGAAAGGAAAUGGAAUAUAUUACAACCAUUACACUAGACUAGAAGGCUAUUUGAAAGAAAAGCAGUUGGGGAAAACGAAAUACUGCUUUGGAAAUGUAAGGUGUAAUGAAAGAAAUAAGCAAUGAUAGAAGAGUUAGAAGUUAAAACUCAGGACUGCUCCAAAAAAGUUACUUUGUUUUUAAGACAAAGAUGGUGUGCUGGACUUGUAUUGUGUCAAACUAGCUAAGCUGGAACUGUUUGCCAGAUUUCUUUUUUCUUUUGCAUUGUUAGCAUGGGCCAUGAAGCAUUUUGACUUUGAAAGGUAAAUGUGAAACUGCAGCCAUAUUCUUAUGCUCAGAAGAUCAGGGUGAGGACAGCAGAUGCUAUUUGCUGCUCACAGGCAUUGCUGGCAUGGGCUGGCAUAGGCAUUGCCCAGCAGCAGGGCUCCUUAGCUUCUCUUCUCUUUUGGCCUCUCUGAACCCUGGGCCAGACCUAGCACCAGAUGCAGAGUUACAGCUGAACAUGAACUGUUUAACUAGGUUAACAAUUACUUAUGGCCAAAUCUCUGGUAAGACAAUUUGUGUCAGCCCCUCUCCCUUCACAAAGAGAACACGUUUGGAUUUUAAAGGCAACAUGCACCUCAUUUAAUCUGAAAUGGGGAUUGUCCCCCUUUUCAUGACCCUUGCUCUGCCUUAUUGCCCUAAUAAGGAGCUCCAAAGCUUACCCUCUUCUCUUACAUUUAGUGUGUGGAAUCUAUCCUCCGACUUUGUCUUACUGUUUUAUUUUCAGUGGGCUUUUCACUGUCUGCUCUUCCCAGGUCACUUUCCUGUUAUUGUCACUCUUACCUUUUGACUCCUCACACUGGUGAUUUCUUUUAACUCCUGCCUUCCUUUUUAAUGUGAAUUUCUAAAUUUAAAAUGUUUGUAUUCAUCAAAAUGAAUAUAUGUAUAUUGUAGAAAAUAUAAAAAGAAAUUAAAGGUUAUCUAAAGAAAAUUUAUUGCCAGUUGCUUUCCUCUCAAAGCUAACCAGUUUACAUUCCUACCAGUGUUUUAUGAAAGUGUUUAUUAGUAUCUCAUCAAUACUGGAUAUUGUGAUUUUAAAAAGUAAUCCUUGACGGCUUUUGUCAUCUCUCAGUCUUUUGAAUUGAAUUGUUAAUCUUCUUUCCAUCCUUUAUUUACGAGUUGUAAUAUACUUGUUGAGAUGGCUUUUGUAUUAUUCAUUCAUUCAUUCCUCCCUCUGUUCACGCAGUGGUACCAAGUACAAUGGCUAGGUCUCAGCUUGCUUGGAAUUUAGCAGUCCAAAAAGUUAGCUUUCUUUAUCGUAACAGUGCUGGAUCUAUGCUGCUAUGGCCUUUUCUGCCUUAACACAAAACAUGAUGAGGGAUAUACAAGGAGCCCAUAAUGUACCUUAUUAGCAUGGUGGCCAUGAUAGAUACUUGUGGUUAAACUGAAAAUUAGCAGUCUAUUAUUAGCAAAGUAUUAAGCUUACAGAGCUAUCUCUGAACCUUUAAGAUUCCCAUAUUUUUUCCUCAGGUAUUUUUAGUGUCUCAUUAAGUAUUCUAGUCACUGUUCUUCCCAGGGCAAAUUGUGUGUUGAUGUUUUAUAUAUAACAUUUGAGGCUUUACAUGGUAUUUUUUUUCUUUAAAUCACUUUAAUUAUAGUUAGCCUAAUCAUGAACUUAUGCUGAGAAAUUUUUUUUUUAAAGGCUGUCCGGCUUUCAGACAAUUUCUAUGUGUUUUCAGGCUCCCAGGAAGCAGUUUUUGAAACACUCUCUCUGUCUGCUUCUUCUGUAAUUUAGAUUACUAUUACUCUCCUUAAGUUGUAGUAUUCUCGCAUGACCAGUUAUAUUGUUAUUAUUCCAUAAUGUGGUACCUGUUUCUUUCUGCCUCUUAUGCAGCUGUUUGGUAUACGCUUCAGUGACUAUGAGAAGCACGAAUUGCCUGUUACAUAAGAUUACCUAUAAUAAGUAUCAGUCAGAUCUUAGAGCAUUUUCCAAAGUGAUAGAUCAGUGCUACUUAAUAACAAACCAAUGUUUAUGGGAAAAGUGGUUGGUAACUCUAUUAACUUUCCAUAGUUUAAAUGACAGUUAAUUUUUCUGUGAAAUUUGUCCCAGUUGGAUGUUCAGAUUUUCAAUUAAUGUUACCCACAAUAACAAGUUUACAUGAAAAACAAUGAAUCUGCCUUAGGUAUACCUUAUAAUGGUAUUUAGUUUACCCUAUUUAGCUCAUAUUUAUGUAUGCAUUUUUCUCAAGAAUUCCAUGGAAUAUUGAGUAGGAGAGUGAACAUAGGUUGAUUUUGAAGUGUUUAUUUGAACUUGUUUUGGCUUAUCAAUGGUAUGCCAACUUUUUUUUUUUCAUUGAGAUAUAAUUUAUGUGCAAUAAAUUCACUUUGGUAAAGAGCACAAUCCAGCUCUUUUUAGUAUAUUCAGAAGACUGUGUAGUUGUCCCCACUAUUUAAUCCCAGAACAUUUUCAUUACCCUACAAAGAAAUAGCUUGUUUCCUUAGCCAUUAGCAGUCACCCUCUCAGUUCCUGACAACCACUAAUCUACUUUUUUGUCUGUAAGGAUUCACCUAUUCUAGGCAUUCAUGUAAAAAGAAUCAUAUAACAUGUGGCCUUUUGUGUCUGGCUUCUUUCACUUAUCAUAAUGUUUUCAUGGCCUGCCUAUGCUGUAGCAUUUAUCAGUACUUCAUUCUUGUUUUUGAUUGAAUAACAUUCCAUUGUAGGAAUAUGCAUUUUGUUUAUCCAUUCAUCAGUUGAUGGACAUUUGAUUGUUUAUACUUUUGGCUAUUAUGAGUAAUGCUGCUAUGUACAUUCAUAUACAACUUCUUAGAUGGUAAUAUAUUUUCAUUUCUCUUGAGUAUUUCCCUAAGAGUAGAAUGUCUGGGUCAUAUGGUGACUAUGUUUGAUGUUUUGGGGAACUGCCAAACUACUUUCCAUAGCAGCUUCAUGAUUUAACUUUUCCAUCCACAAUGUACAAGGGUUCCACUUUCCCCACGUCCUUGCCAACAUUUGUUAUUGUCUUUUUAAAAAUUUUAUUACAGCCAUUCUUAUGUGUGUAGAGUAGUAUCUCAUUGUGGUUUUGCUUUGCAUUUUCCUGAAGACUAAUGAUGUUGAGCAACUUUUCGUGUGCUUGUAGAGCAUUUGUACAUCGACUUUCUAGAAAUAAGUUCAAUUUAUCUAUUUUUUCUUCAGUUGCUUGUGUUAGUUGUCAUAUCCAAAAAACCAUUACUUAACCCAGUGUCACAAUGAUUUAUACCUAUGUUUUCAUCUAGGAGUUUUAUAGUUUUAGCUCUUACAUUUACAUCUUUGAUCCAUUUUGAGUUAAUUUUUGUAUAUUGUGUGAGGUAGGGGCCCAAAUUCAUUCUUUUGCAUGUAGCUAUCCAGUUGUCCAGCAUCAAUUUUUGAAAACAUUCUUUCCCUGUUGCAUGAUACCAACAGCCUUGUCAAAACUCAGUUGAUAAUAGAGAUAGAAUUAUUUCUAGGCUCUCAAUUCUAUUUCAUCAAUCUAUAUAUCUGUCUUUAUGCCAGCACCACACUGUCUUCUUGAUUACUAUGGCUUUGUAGUAAGUUUUUAAAUUGGGAAGUGCGAGUCUUCCAACAUGGCUGUUUUCAAGAUCAUUUUGACUAUUAUGGGUUCUUUACAUUUUCAUGUGUAUUUUAGGAUCAGCUUGUUAAUUUAAACCAAAACAAGGUAGCUGGUAUUUUGACAGAAAUUGCAUUGAAUAUAUAUAGACAAAUUUGGAUAGUAUUGCCAACUCAGCAAUAUUGGUCUUUUCAUUGAUAAUUCCUGUUUCUUUAAACAAUGUUUAUAGUUUUCAAUGUACAAGCCUUGUACCACUAGCUAAGUUUUUCCUAAGUAUUUUAUUCUUUUUGAUGCUGUUGUACAUAGCAUUGGCUUUUUAAUUUUAUUUUUGGAUUGUGCAUUGUCAGUGUAUAGAACUACUAUGUAGUUUUGUACAUUGAUUUUUUUUUAUCCUGCAGCCUUGCUGUACUCGUUUAUUAUUUCUAAUAGUUUUUUGUGAGUUUCUUGGGAUUUUCUAUAUACAAGAUCAUGUCAUCUGCAAAUAGUGAUAGUUGUAUUUCUUUCAUUUCCAGAUGCCUUCUCAUUUCAUUUUCUUGCCUAAUUGUCCUGGCUAGAACCUCCAGCAUAAGUUGUAUAGAAAUGGUGGGGCAGAUAUCCUUUUUUAUUUCAGAAUUUAGGGGAAAAGAGUUCAGUCUUUCACCAUGGAGUAUGAUGUUAGCUGUGGGUUUCUCAUAGAUGCUUCUUUUUUAAGGUUAUGGAGGUUUCCUUUCUAUAUUUCUGGUUUGUUUAAUCUUUUUAUCAUGAAAGAAUGUUAGGUUUUGUCAGAUGCUUUUUCUGCCUCUUGUGAGAUGAUUGUGUGUUUUUUUGUUUUUUUUUUUUCUCCUUUACUCUAUCUAAAGAAGGUAUAUUUUAUUGAUUGGUUUUUAUGUAUUGAACCCACCUUGUAUUCCUGGGAUAAAUCCCACUUAGUUAUUGGUGUAUAGUACUUUUUAUACACUGUUAGUUUCUGUUUGCUGGUAUUUCAUUGAGGAUUUUUGCAUCCAUAUUCAUAAGGAAUAUUAGUCUGUAGUGGGGUUUUCAUGAUGUCUUUAUCUCAUCUUGGUAUCAGGGUAAUACGAUUUUGGAGAAUGAAUUAGAAAGUGUUCCCUCUUCUCCUAUUUUUUGAAGAGUUUAUGAAGUAUUGGUGUUAAUUCUUCUUUAAAUGUUUGAUAGAUUUCAAUAGUGAAGCCAUCUGGGUCCUGUGCUUUUCUUUGGGAAAACUUUAUUGAUUAUUAAUUCAAUCUCUUACUUCUUCUAGGAUCAUGUGCCAGUUUAAUUCAUCUUUUCCUUCUUAGCACUAGACGUGUAUGUGGUCUUGUAUCCUUUUUUAUUCUUUGUUCUUCCCCUCAGUGUCCCUUCUUAACUUUGCAUGUAUGAGUAGAUGCUAGAAGCCUAGCAAAUCUUGUCAUUAAAUGGUUAUGUUAUGUUUUGAUUGCAACAUGAAAGGCAAGUUUGGAUAUUAAAACCAUAAAGUAGAUUAAUUAUCUGCUUGCUUUAGCUUUGAAUAUGUUAUUCAAGGAGAUUUAGUUGUUUGCUACUACUCUUCUGGCACAAAGAAUACCAUGGGAAUACCCUAGUGUUUUGUUGCUUUGUUGUAACCCAGUAUUGUACGUAAAUGGGCCAUUCACAGGGCCUGUUCAUGACAGGCCAUCUUCCGGAGUUAUUACUCCUCUUAGUAGUAUGCUAAUGCUAUUUCUGGUGUGUUAUAGUUUGUUGCUGUUGACAGUGCUUUCAAUGGUUGUAUCUGGCUUCCCCAAUUAGGGAUGUCAUCCAAAUCAGUUAUUCUUCAUCCUUCCAAAUUAGUACUACAUAUAGCAAAUAAAAGCAUAUACAUUCGUCCUUGGAGGUUAAGUAAGUAAAGGUAAUUGUUAGUGAAAUUAUUAGCUUUGGAAAUAAAAUCGUAAGGUAGAUUAAGCCUGGUAAUUAGAUUUUUUUUUAUGCUGCUUACAUGUGCUUUUGACCAUUAGCUUAUAGACUGUUCUCAACUGUUGUGUUUUGACACAGUGAUUCAGUGAAGGGUGGGGUGAGUUGUGUGCUACUGGCAUUUGGUGGCUUGAGGCCAGCAAUACUAAACAUUGCAUAGUGUGAAGGGACAAAUCCACAUUAUUUAGCUACCCAGAAUUCUAAUAACAUCUCCAUUGAGAAACACUGAUACAUUUCAGUAAUAUUUAUAAUAUUGAAUUACCAUACUCUAGGAUUUUACAGUAUCUUCCAGGUAACUUUUAAUUUAUAAACAUCUUUUCAUAUAAGUAUUGGAGUAAACCUUUCUUUGUCUGUUUUCUCUGUAGCUUCAUAAUGUUUGUGGAUGUAGAAUUCCAGCCUGACAAACUUCUCAUACUUCUAUACCAAAGUACACCAGAUCAUAGGAAAGAGUAACCAUUUUCCUUUUGGGGAAGUCUUCAGGAAGGGUUGACUUUGAAAUCUCAACUUUAAGUUAAAAAUUCAUAUUAACUUUGCAUUUGCUUUUCAGCUCCAGGUAUAAUUUGUAUACAAUACAAUGUAUUGGUUUUAAUUGUAACCACUACCCCACAUCAAGAUAUAAAACAUUUCUAUGACCCCCAGAAAGUUCUAUCAUGCCUUUUACCACCUCCAACCCCCUCUGCAAUUACUGAUCUAAUUUCUGUUACCAUAGCUUAAUCUUGCCUGUUUCAGAACUUUGUAGAAUCGAAACCAUACGAUAAUUUAUUCGUUUCUGAAUUAUUUCACUCAUAAUGUUUUUGAGAUUUAUUCACAUUUUACAUAUCAGUAGCACAUUCUUUUUUAGUGCUGAGUCAUCUUCUAUUGUAUAGAUACUCCAUAAUUUGUUUAUGGCUCUUCUCAAUAUUUGGCUAGUAUGGAUAAAGCUGCUUUAUCCAUGUAGUUUCAUCCUUGUAAAAGUCAUUUUGUGGCCUAUGUUUUCAUUCCUCUUUGAUAAAUACUUAAGAAUACUACUGUUGGAUCAUAGGACAGGUAUAUAUUUAUUCUUAAGAGACUCUAAACUGUUUUUGAGCUGUUCACAUUUCACACUCCCUUUAGCAAUAUACUUUUAUUUUCAUAGUGGCGCCUUUGGAGGAGCAGAAGGUUUUAAUUUUGAUGAAGUCCAAUUUAUCAUUGUUUUCUUUUAUGAUUAGUACUUGCUGUAUCCUAAAAAAAUCUUUGUAUACCCCAUGUUACUAAGAUUUAUCCUGUGCUUUCCUAGAAGCUUUAUAGCUUUAACUUUUAUUUUAUAGGUCUUUGAUCUAUCUUGAUUUAAUAUUUGUGUCUGGUGUGAAGUGGGGGUUGAAAGUUUAUUUUUUCACAUACAGGUGUCCUGUUACUCUACCCCAUUUAUUAAAAAAGGCUUUCCCCAUUGCAUCACCUUAGAGCUAUGUUGAAAAUCAAUUAACUAUAUAUGUGGACAUAUCUAUACACAUACUCUAUUCUGUUAAUUUUUCUCUAUUUAUGCCAUACUAUAAUCUCUCUUGAUUACUGUAGCAAUUCAGAAAUCAGAUAGUGUGAGUGCUCCAGGUUUGUCCUUUUUCAAGGUCUUUGUAUCUUCAUAUGAAUUUUAGAAUCAUCUUGUCAUUCUUACAUAAAUGUCAAGGUAUUCUUUAUUAGGAUGGCAUUGAAUCUGUAGAUCAAUUUGCAGAGAAUUUACAUCUUAACAAUAUUGAGGUUUCAUUUACUUCUGUCAUCUUUAUCUGCAAUGUUUUGGUUUUUUAUGCACAAGUCUUUGACAUCUUUUAUCCAUUUAUAUAUAGGUAUAAUUUUUAAUGCUAUUGAAAAUAGUAUUUUAAAAUUACAUACUUUCCAAUUAUUUGUUGCUAGCAUAUCAAAGUAAAAUUGAUUUUGACAUAGAUCUUGUAUCCUCCAUUCUACUAAAUUCAUUUAAUUGUUUGAGAUUUUUUUUGGUAUAAAUUUCUUAGGAUUUACUAAGCAAAUCAUGCUGUCUAUAAAUAAAAAUCAGAGUGUUUCUUCCUUUCCAAUCUUUAUGGUUUUUCUUUUCUUUUCUUGCCGUAGAGCACUGGCUAACGUCCCCAUUACUAUGUUUAAUAGAAGUGGUGAGAGCAGACAUCCAUGCCUUAUUCCUGAUCUUACAGGGAAAACAUUCAGUAUUUCACUCUUAAUUUGAUAUUAGCUGUAGAUUUUUCAUAGAGGAAAUUUCUUUUCUUCCGAGCUGAUGAAAGCUUUUAUCAUAGUGGGUUUUGAAUAUUGUUGAGGCUUAUCCAAAUUUAUUUGAUUAUUUAAUUUUCAUAUGAGUUUUCUUUUAGUUUUAAAUUAAAUUCUCUUCAUUUUUUCUUUAAU